CAGUAGCCACGGUAAUACGAAGGGUGCAAGCGUUAAUCGGAAUUACUGGGCGUAAAGCGUGCGUAGGCGGUUUGUUAAGUCUGCUGUGAAAUCCCCGGGCUCAACCUGGGAAUGGCAGUGGAUACUGGCAAGCUAGAGUGUGUCAGAGGAUGGUGGAAUUCCCGGUGUAGCGGUGAAAUGCGUAGAGAUCGGGAGGAACAUCAGUGGCGAAGGCGGCCAUCUGGGACAACACUGACGCUGAGGCACGAAAGCGUGGGGAGCAAACAGGAUUAGAUACCCGAGUAGUCCCUGUCUCUUAUAC
rnacentral:rRNA from 1 species